ACUUUUUGUCCAUCACUUUACUUAGCAAGACAGGCCAUUACAAUUUCUAUCCUUUUUCUUUCUCUGUACAGUUCAUUUUUGUUCCUCCUGGAGGUUGGGAAGCAAAUUACAAAUUGACUGGUUUGAAUCAUCAACACAUAGAGGUGCAACACUGUUUAACUGUAGGUAAUAUUGGGGCCACAUGUCUGGGUUCUGACCUAAGUGACAUUGAUGAGGCUGGCUGGAAAAAAGGACAUUGAAUCGUAGCUCAGCGACAUUCCGUAGGAACAGAACUUUUUUGAAGGGCUGCAGACCCAGGAUGUGUGGAAAACCUGACAUUUUUCUUCAAACACAC